GAUGAACGCUGGCGGCGUGCCUAAUACAUGCAAGUCGAGCGAACGGACGAGAAGCUUGCUUCUCUGAUGUUAGCGGCGGACGGGUGAGUAACACGUGGAUAACCUACCUAUAAGACUGGGAUAACUUCGGGAAACCGGAGCUAAUACCGGAUAAUAUUUUGAACCGCAUGGUUCAAAAGUGUAAGACGGUCUUGCUGUCACUUAUAGAUGGAUCCGCGCUGCAUUAGCUAGUUGGUAAGGUAACGGCUUACCAAGGCAACGAUGCCUAGCCGACCUGAGAGGGUGAUCGGCCACCCUGGAACGGAGACAAGGUCCAGACUCCUACGGGAGGCAGCAGUAGGGAAUCUUCCGCAAUGGGCGAAAGCAUGCCGGAGCAACGCCGCGUGAGUGAUGAAGGUCUUCGGAUCGUAAAACUCUGUUAUUAGGGAAGAACAUAUGUGUAAGUAACUGUGCACAUCUUGACGGUACCUAAUCAGAAAGCCCCGGCUAACUACGUG
rnacentral:rRNA from 1 species